rnacentral:rRNA from 1 species
CAAAGAUACAUCUUUCACGCGGUGGGAACA